ACUCCAUCCUGCACCAAAGGAAAGUGGAAAGCCCUGGGAGGGGGUCAGAAUUUUCUAGCUUCUCAGGUCAAGAAGCAUUAGAAAAAUCUGGUACCUGAAAGGAUAUUUAUCAUCAGGAAUAUUGGAAAAGACAGAAAAAGCCACCUCUACUUCAUGUGUCUUAAAACUGUGUGCUACCAAGAUGUACUCUUGGAAGAAGGAGAGACAGAAAAAAAUCCAUGGCUUACCAUUUAAGAGAGCUGUCUGCUCUUCCUGAAGGACUCAAGUUCCAUUCCCAGCACCAUAUAGUAUCUCACAACCAUCUAUAACUCCAGUUCUAAGGGACCCAAUGCCCUUUUCUGGCCUCUGCAGGUACCAGACAUGCACAUGUCGCACAAUAUGCAGACACACACAUAAUAAAGUUAAAAUAAAAAUAAAAAAAAAAAAAAA
rnacentral:lncRNA from 1 species